rnacentral:rRNA from 1 species
CGGAUAUCUCGGCUCUCGCAUCGAUGAAGAACGUAGCGAAAUGCGAUACUUGGUGUGAAUUGCAGAAUCCCGUGAACCAUCGAGUCUUUGAACGCAAGUUGCGCCCGACGCCAUCCGGCCGAGGGCACGUCUGCCUGGGUGUCACGC